rnacentral:rRNA from 1 species
AUGUAACGGGGCUAAACCAUGCACCGAAGCUGCGGCAGCGACGCUUAUGCGUUGUUGGGUAGGGGAGCGUUCUGUAAGCCUGCGAAGGUGUGCUGUGAGGCAUGCUGGAGGUAUCAGAAGUGCGAAUGCUGACAUAAGUAACGAUAAAGCGGGUGAAAAGCCCGCUCGCCGGAAGACCAAGGGUUCCUGUCCAACGUUAAUCGGGGCAGGGUGAGUCGACCCCUAAGGCGAGGCCGAAAGGCGUAGUCGAUGGGAAACAGGUUAAUAUUCCUGUACUUGGUGUUACUGCGAAGGGGGGACGGAGAAGGCUAUGUUGGCCGGGCGACGGUUGUCCCGGUUUAAGCGUGUAGGCUGGUUUUCCAGGCAAAUCCGGAAAAUCAAGGCUGAGGCGUGAUGACGAGGCACUACGGUGCUGAAGCAACAAAUGCCCUGCUUCCAGGAAAAGCCUCUAAGCAUCAGGUAACAUCAAAUCGUACCCCAAACCGACACAGGUGGUCAGGUAGAGAAUACCAAGGCGCUUGAGAGAACUCGGGUGAAGGAACUAGGCAAAAUGGUGCCGUAACUUCGGGAGAAGGCACGC